GAAGAGCGCAAGCAAGAGAAACACAGGAUGAAGGAACGUUUGUCUUAUUACUAAUACCGUGGUACUUACAGUAAUUAUGACUGUUAUGCCAACAAUGGCAGAGGUCUGUCUGAGAUUUGAUACCUGUAAAUGUAAAGCAGGAUCUUUUACGGUGGAUUUAACUCAACUUUUGGAUGGCACAAAUCCGAGGCAUGCAGAUUUACUUCAUUCUACAAGUGUGAUCUAGUCAUAUGACACAUGUCCCGUGACAGUGUUGUACGCUGCAGUGUUUUGCAGCUUUAUCAACUUUGUGUUGAAAGAUAAUUUUAAGUACUCUUGAUUUGUGGAGGUGUAUCUUGUCAUCGCAUAUAAUCGUAAAACUAUCAUUACAUGCUAUUGUCGCUGCUUAUCAAUUCUUCGCACCUCUUUGAUGGCGUGUGUGUGGAUGGGGUGCGCACUUGAGUGAACGUAUUCAAACGUCUGUACGUGCAUCAGUAUGUGUGUAUUGCGCGUCUAGCAAAAGAAAUUGAACAUCGCCAUUAAGAAACAAUUGCCUGUUUGAUGGAUUGGAAACAGUGUCUCAACCCAUGUUUGCCGUUCUGGACCCUAAGAGUGACAAACAUCAGAUGUUUUACUAUAUGCCUUGCCAGCCUUGACAUCUCAAAUUACUGUAAAACCCUUCAUCUUCCAUCAAUGUGGCUGUUUGUCAGAUGACAAAUCCUCCGAAUCCUGACUCCUUUGACCUAGGUGACAUAAACACAGAAAAAUUCUCUGGAGAUCCAAUGAAUGGAACCCUCAGUAUCACCUAUCAAACACCAGACGAAAGAUAUACUAGCAUCUUGUUACAGUGUGGUGAUGACACCAGAAUGGAAUUCAUCUCAGAAUUCCCAACAAAAACAUAUG